rnacentral:rRNA from 1 species
CCUACGGGAGGCAGCAGUGGGGAAUAUUGCGCAAUGGGCGAAAGCCUGACGCAGCGACGCCGCGUGAGGGAUGAAGGUCUUCGGAUCGUAAACCUCUGUCAGCAGGGAAGAACGGUCACGGGGCUAAUCAGCAGUGAAUUGACGGUACCUGCAAAGGAAGCACCGGCUACCUCCGUGCCAGCAGCCGCGGUAAUACGGAGGGUGCGAGCGUUAAUCGGAAUUACGGGGCGUAAAGCGCUCGUAGGCGGUAUGUCAAGUCAAGGGUGAAAUCCCCGCGCUCAACGUGGGAACUGCCUUUGAAACUGGCAAACUGGAGUGUGUGAGAGUAUAUUGUAAUUCCAGGUGUA